GAUGAAGAACGCAGCGAAAUGCGAUAAGUAGUGUGAAUUGCAGAAUUCAGUGAAUCAUCGAAUUUUUGAACGCACAUUGCGCCCCUUGGUAUUCCAUGGGGCAUGCCUGUUCGAGCGUCAUUUGUACCUUCAAGCUUUGCUUGGUGUUGGGUGUUUGUCUCGCCUUUGCGUGUAGACUCGCCUUAAAAUAAUUGGCAGCCGGCGUAUUGAUUUCGGAGCGCAGUACAUCUCGCGCUUUGCACUCAUAACGACAGCGUCCAAAAGUACAUUUUACACUCUUGACCUCGGAUCAGGUAGGGAUACCCGCUGAACUUAAGCAUAUCAAUAAGCGGAGGA
rnacentral:misc_RNA from 1 species